AAGUGCUCUUGCCUCACUGUGACAGUGCAUCAGCUGAGGUUGUGAACUGUGAAACUCUGUCCAUGAAUAGUAACAGUAUAUCAGUGUAGCUGACAUGCUCCCUCUGGCUUAACUCCAACACACAGAGCCAAAGACCAUGUUCAACAAGGAACCCCUGCUACUGGCCCUCCAAGCCUGACGACUCCACAGGACUCAGGAGCCCCUGCUACUGGCCCUCCAAGCCUGACGACUCCACAGGACUCAGGAGCCCCCUGCUACUGGUCCUCCAAGCCUGACGACCCCACAGGACUCAGGAGCCCCCUGCUACUGGUCCUCCAAGCCUGACGACUCCACAGGACUCAGGAUCCCCCUGCUACUGGUCCUCCAAGCCUGACGACUCCACAGGACUCAGGAGCCCCCUGCUACUGGCCCUCCAAGCCUGACGACUCCACAGGACUCAGAAGAAGCUAGAGCUUGACCCCAUUGGAGUGCCACUAUGGGGAAUGUGAUGAGGGGUGGGGAAAAUAGCAACGAAACAAAUACAAACUGCCAUGACAGCGCACUAAAGGCAGAAGACGACACACUUGUCGUUCUCCAUGACUAUCCUUUUCCAGACAUCAGUGAGCCGAUCUUCAGGAUGGGAGAGAAGCUGAGGGUCUUGUCUCAGGAAGGUAACUGGUGGAGAGUCCGGUCUGGCCAAUCAGGAAGGGAGAACUACAUCCCUAAUAACUAUGUUGCCAAAGUCUACCAUGGAUGGUUGUUUGAGGGAGUGGCGAGGCAGAAGGCGGAGGAACUACUUCGCCUCCCUGUAAACAGAGUGGGAUCCUUCAUGAUCAGAGAGAGCACACAGCAGAGAGGUGUCUACUCCAUGUCUGUAAAGCAUAGAUCCAUCAAGCACUAUAAAAUCUAUCGCUUGGAGAACAACGGCUGGUACUAUAUCUCUCCUCGCCUGACCUUCCAGUGCCUGGAAGAGAUGGUCAACCACUACUGUGACUCUGCAGAUGGGCUGUGCUGUGUUCUCACUGGCCCGUGUCUGUGUGGGACCGCCAACCUCCUCGACACCACCACUCAGCCACCCCCUGUAGUGAUGCGCCGCAAUAACUUUGACUGGAAGAAAGUAGACAGGAAAGAUCUGAUCAGUGCAGGGGCUCCCCAGGUACAGCAGAACAGGGAAACCAUGGUGAGCUAUGGAGUCAGGAACAGCAUCGCCUCUUACCUCUCUCUUGCCGGGGCUCAGGGCCCUAGACAGCAGCAGAAGAACCACAAGAAGAAUAAAUCUGUCUACGUCACCUCCCGCAGUCUCAGCCAUAUGGACCUGGAGGAGGACUAUGAUACGUAGUGGCCUGCAUAGGCCAGUGGUUCUCAAACCUCUCUUUGGGGACCCCCAGACGUCCAUGUAUUUGAUCUAUUUCAGAGCUAGCACACUUGAUUCAACUUGUCAACUAAUCAACAUGUACUUGACUAGGUGAAUCAUGUCAGCUAGUAAGGGCUAUAACAAAAUUGUGAAACGUCUAGGGGUCCCCGAGGAGAGGUUUGAGAAGAACUGGCCUAGGCUACCAGAUUCGGCAUGGGUUCGAAUCCAACCCACUGCCUUUCUGACUUGCUAUCUUUGUUGUCGCAUCUUCACUGUCCUAUCUCAAUAACAGAAAUGAAGCCCACAGAAAAUAAGUUUUAAAAAAGACUAUGAGACUAAGAGGAACAACGGCUCAAGGAUCCAGACUUUGACACAGAAAUGAGCACUUUGAACCAUGGAACUAGAUAAACUAAAAAAUGUUCUUCUGAUCUCGACACCCAGAACCAAAUCUUGCGGGGUGGCCAGAGUCCCUAUUUAAAUGUUAACCUCUGUUACGAGAUACUAUAUUUUCCUCCAAUACACACACUGCUCCUUAUCUGAGCCUUUGGGAUUGAACUGAUAAGGAAUUGGAAGCUCAGUGGGAUAAAUCAACAUUGAAGUUGAAGUCCGUCCAGAGUCCAGAGCACUGACCGAGUGUCCUGCAAAAAUACAACACAUGUUAGCAUCAUGACAGUCGAUAAAAUAGUUGAAUGCUGUGUUGUGGGUGUUUGUGUGAAUGUGUAAUAUUCUGGGGAAAGAAACAUGGAAAGAAAGGGGAAUACCUAGACAGCUGCACAACUGAAUGCCUUCAACUGAAAAUGUGUCUUCCACAUUUAACCCAACCCCUCUGAAUCAGAAAGGUGCGGGGGGCUGACUUAAUCGACGCCCGGGGAGCAAUUGUUGUUAUUGUGGAUGUGUGUAAAUGUCAAUGGUUAGCAGCUUCAGAAGCUUUAGCCUGACCCCUUGCAAAGAGAUUUCUGUUGAGUACAUGUUUAUGUAAAUAAAUGUAAGGUAUUGUAUAAUCUCAGCAAACCAGAACCAAUAAAAGUAAGGUAUUGUAUAAUCUCAGCAAACCAGAACCAAUAAAAGUAAGGUAUUGUAUAAUCUCAGCAAACCAGAACCAAUAAAAGUAAGGUAUUGUAUAAUCUCGGCAAACCAGAACCAAUAAAAGUAAGGUAUUGUAUAAUCUCAGCAAACCAGAACCAAUAAAAGUAAGGUAUUGUAUAAUCUCGGCAAACCAGAACCAAUAAAAGUAAGGUAUUGUAUAAUCUCAGCAAACCAGAACCAAUAAAAGUAAGGUAUUGUAGAAUCUCAGCAAACCAGAACCAAUAAAAGUAAGGUAUUGUAUAAUCUCAGCAAACCAGAACCAAUAAAAGUAAGGUAUUGUAUAAUCUCAGCAAACCAGAACCAAUAAAAGUAAGGUAUUGUAUAAUCUCGGCAAACCAGAACCAAUAAAAGUAAGGUAUUGUAUAAUCUCAGCAAACCAGAACCAAUAAAAGUAAGGUAUUGUAUAAUCUCAGCAAACCAGAACCAAUAAAAGUAAGGUAUUGUAUAAUCUCAGCAAACCAGAACCAAUAAAAGUAAGGUAUUGUAUAAUCUCAGCAAACCAGAACCAAUAAAAGUAAGGUAUUGUAUAAUCUCAGCAAACCAGAACCAAUAAAAGUAAGGUAUUGUAUAAUCUCAGCAAACCAGAACCAAUAAAAGUAAGGUAUUGUAUAAUCUCAGCAAACCAGAACCAAUAAAAGUAAGGUAUUGUAUAAUCUCAGCAAACCAGAACCAAUAAAAGUAAGGUAUUGUAUAAUCUCGGCAAACCAGAACCAAUAAAAGUAAGGUAUUGUAUAAUCUCAGCAAACCAGAACCAAUAAAAGUAAGGUAUUGUAUAAUCUCAGCAAACCAGAACCAAUAAAAGUAAGGUAUUGUAUAAUCUCAGCAAACCAGAACCAAUAAAAGUAAGGUAUUGUAUAAUCUCAGCAAACCAGAACCAAUAAAAGUAAGGUAUUGUAUAAUCUCGGCAAACCAGAACCAAUAAAAGUAAGGUAUUGUAUAAUCUCAGCAAACCAGAACCAAUAAAAGUAAGGUAUUGUAUAAUCUCAGCAAACCAGAACCAAUAAAAGUAAGGUAUUGUAUAAUCUCAGCAAACCAGAACCAAUAAAAGUAAGGUAUUGUAUAAUCUCAGCAAACCAGAACCAAUAAAAGUAAGGUAUUGUAUAAUCUCAGCAAACCAGAACCAAUAAAAGUAAGGUAUUGUAUAAUCUCAGCAAACCAGAACCAAUAAAAGUAAGGUAUUGUAUAAUCUCAGCAAACCAGAACCAAUAAAAGUAAGGUAUUGUAUAA